GACGAACGCUGGCGGCGGGCCUAAUACAUGCAAGUCGAACGCUGGAGGAGGAGCUUGCUUCUCUUGAUGAGUUGCGAACGGGUGAGUAACGCGUAGGUAACCUUCCUGGUAGCGGGGGAUAACUAUUGGAAAGGGUAGCUAAUACCGCAUAAUAGUAGAUGUUGCAUGAGAUUUUCUGAAAAGGUGCAAUUGCGUCACUACCAGAUGGGCCUGCGUUGUAUUAGCUAUUUGGUGCGGUAACGGCUCACCAAGGCAACUAUACAUAGCCGACCUGGGAGGGGGAUCGGCCAAAACGGGACUGAGAACAGGCCCAGACUCCUUCCGGAGGGAGCCGUAGGGAAACUUUGGCAAAUGACGGAAGUCUGAACGCGGCACGCCGCGGGAGGGAAGAAGGGUUUCCGAUUGUAAAAGUCCGUUGUAAGGGAAGAAAGAGUGUGAGAGUGGAAAGUUCACGCUGUGACGGUACCUUAACAGAAAGCGACGGCUAACUACGUG
rnacentral:rRNA from 1 species